rnacentral:rRNA from 1 species
UACGAAGGGGGCUAGCGUUGUUCGGAAUCACUGGGCGUAAAGGGCGCGUAGGCGGCUUUGUAAGUCGGGGGGUGAAAGCCUGUGGCUCAACCACAGAAUUGCCUUCGAUACUACAUGGCUUGAGACCGGAAGAGGUUAGUGGAACUGCGAGUGUAGAGGUGAAAUUCGUAGAUAUUCGCAAGAACACCAGUGGCGAAGGCGGCUGACUGGUCCGGUUCUGACGCUGAGGCGCGAAAAGCGUGGGGGAGCAAACAGG